GCCCUCUUAGCUCAGGGGAUAGAGCGUCUGCCUCCGGAGCAGAAGGUCGUAGGUUCGAAUCCUAUAGAGGGCACCA
rnacentral:tRNA from 1 species